UCAGCAAUGAUGAUUGGCGCAGGGGUACCGACCUCAGCUGGAUAAUGGGAGCUGAGUGCAGAGCUCGGUCUGUCCGGUUAGCCGACGUGUGGUUGGUGGCCGGAAGACUCUCUGCAUGAAAUAGAUGCCAGACUGAGCUAC
rfam:Xenopus laevis strain J chromosome 1L, whole genome shotgun sequence.